rnacentral:tRNA from 1 species
CAGGGAGACAACAAAAUGUUUAAUAUUAUUAUUUUGUCACCUUAGGUCGAUCGGUAUCUCACGUUCUUAAUUUAUUAAGAAUUUCAUUUCCUAAGUUUUUCUAGGUCACACCCAUUAUUUUCCUGGGCCAUUAGCUCAGGUGGUUAGAGCGCACCCCUGAUAAGGGUGAGGUCCCUGGUUCAAGUCCAGGAUGGCCCAUAUCUCUAUGUUGGGGGUAUAGCUCAGUUGGUAGAGCGCCUGCUUUGCAAGCAGGAUGUCAGCGGUUCGAGUCCGCUUACCUCCACUGAUUACCACCUCUUCCAUAAUUUGUAGAAGGGAAAUGUUAUGUGUUGUGAUCAAUUUCUGAACGAAUCUAGCUUCCUAAUGAAAUCAUUAAGAUGCUGGACUCAUUGAAUUAAUUUCAUUGUUUUCAGAGAACCUUGACAACUGCAUAGAUUAUUUUUAAAGACAAUAAGCAUCUUUAAUGAUGCAGAUUUAUUAUUUGUGCGAAUGCAUUAAUAACAAUUCUAUUAAGCUGAUGCUUCAAUUUUGAAGUUAUU